rnacentral:rRNA from 1 species
UACAGAGGUCUUCAAGCGUUGUUUCGGAUUCAUUGGGCGUAAAGGGCGCGUAGGCGGUCGUGACAAGUCACUUGUGAAAUCUCCGGGCUUAACUCGGAACGGUCAAGUGAUACUGUCGGACUAGAGUACAGAAGGGGCAACUGGAAUUCUCGGUGUAGCGGUGAAAUGCGUAGAUAUCGAGAGGAACACCUGCGGCGAAGGCGGGUUGCUGGGCUGAUACUGACGCUGAGGCGCGAAAGCCAGGGGAGCGAACGGG